ACAGCAAAGCGAAAAGGUCUC
rnacentral:miRNA from 1 species